CAAGUACUCCCUCCGUCCGAAAAUACUUGUCAUAGAAAUGGAUGUAUCUAGAUGUAUUUUAGUUUUAUAUACAUUCAUUUUAGUCCAUUUGUGUAAUAAGUAAUUCCGGACGGAGGGAGUAAUAC
rfam:Hordeum vulgare subsp. vulgare, WGS project CAJW01000000 data, contig: morex_contig_241363